UACGUAUUUAAAUAUCAAUAUUUUGUUUUUUUCCCCAUUACUAAUUCAUUUAUUUGUUGUCGGAUUACGAAACGUACAAAAAAAACAUUUGGAUAAACAACAAAUAAUAGAUGAAGACGAGGAGGAGUCAACAAACGAAGAAGAAAUGUCGACGCAAGGAGUCAACAAACAUUCAUUGAUGAUAGUCUGAAAGCUUGGAUUAAGGCUACAGGAGGCAAGACUAAAUGACGUAUUCUCGGAAUAAGACCAGGGGACGAUUCAUUGAUGCCAAAGAAAUCCAAAGUUAAAAU
rnacentral:lncRNA from 1 species